rnacentral:rRNA from 1 species
UACGGAGGAUGCAAGCGUUAUCCGGAAUGAUUGGGCGUAAAGCGUCCGCAGGUGGCUGUGUAAGUCUGCUGUUAAAGAGUCAUGCUCAACAUGAUAAGAGCAGUGGAAACUACACGGCUAGAGUGCGUUCGGGGCAGAGGGAAUUCCUGGUGUAGCGGUGAAAUGCGCAGAUAUCAGGAGGAACACCGGUGGCGAAGGCGGUUCUCUGGGCAUGAUCUGACGCUGAGGAGCGAAAGUGUGGGGAGCGAACAGG